UGGUAGUUUGUUUGAUCAGCAGAAUAAGCUCCCUGA
rnacentral:piRNA from 1 species